UACGUAGGGUGCGAGCGUUGUCCGGAAUUAUUGGGCGUAAAGGGCUCGUAGGCGGUCUGUCGCGUCGGGAGUGAAAACUCAGGGCUUAACCCUGAGCCUGCUUCCGAUACGGGCAGACUAGAGGUAUGCAGGGGAGAACGGAAUUCCUGGUGUAGCGGUGAAAUGCGCAGAUAUCAGGAGGAACACCGGUGGCGAAGGCGGUUCUCUGGGCAUUAACCUGACGCUGAGGAGCGAAAGUGUGGGGAGCGAACAGG
rnacentral:rRNA from 1 species